rnacentral:rRNA from 1 species
CUACGUAGGUGACAAGCGUUAUCCGGAUUUACUGGGCGUAAAGGGCGUGUAGGCGGUCUUGCAAGUCAGAAGUGAAAUUCCUGAGCUCAACUCGGGCGCUGCUUCUGAAACUGCAGGACUUGAGUGCUGGAGGGGAUAGCGGAAUUCCUAGUGGAGCGGUAAAAUGCGCAGAUAUUAGGAAGAACACCGGUGGCGAAGGCGGCUAUCUGGACAGUAACUGACGCUGAGGCGCGAAAGCGUGGGGAGCAAACAGGAUUAGAGACCCUGGUAGUCCACGCCGGAAACGAUGAAUACUAGGUGUAGGGGGUAUCGACUCCCUCUGUGCCGCAGUUAACACAAUAAGUAUUCCGCCUGGGGAGUACGGCCGCAAGGUUGAAACUCAAAGGAAUUGACGGG